rnacentral:lncRNA from 1 species
AGUCAUUCUAUACUGAAUCUAAACUACUCCAUUAGCUUUAAAGGAAUGUGGAACUGAAGCAAAGAGGUGUCCCCACUUCCAUUCUCCAAAAUGAAAUUGAUCAUCUUAGGAAACUGUAUCAAACACUAAAGAAAUUGUCAACCUUCAACAAUCUGUGUUGGAGCUCCAAGGGCAGAUGAACAGAAGAGCAGAAGAAUGGUAGAACAGUGUGGCAGAGAAGGAGAGAAAAGAAGGAGUAUCUGAAAGUCAAGAGGAGGUCGUCUGGGGACAGUCAGAGAGGAGAUCAGCCAAUGGACAGCCAAA